GACGAACGCUGGCGGCGUGCUUAAUACAUGCAAGUCGAGCGAGACUCUUGAUGAAGCUUGCGAUUCAAGAGUUUAGCGGCGGACGGGUGAGUAACGCGUGGGCAACCUGCCCUCUAGUCUGGGAUAACAGAGCGAAAGUUCUGCUAACACCGGAUAUGCUUACAGUCAGGCAUCUGAAGGUAAGGAAAGGAUACGCUAGAGGAUGGGCCCGCGUCCCAUUAGCUAGUUGGUGAGGUAACGGCUCACCAAGGCGACGAUGGGUAGCCGACCUGAGAGGGUGACCGGCCACACUGGGACUGAGACACGGCCCAGACUCCUACGGGAGGCAGCAGUAGGGAAUUUUCCGCAAUGGGCGAAAGCCUGACGGAGCAACGCCGCGUGAAGGAAGAAGGUCUUCGGAUCGUAAACUUUUGUCUUCAGGGACGAUAAUGACGGUACCUGAGGAGGAAGCCACGGCUAACUACGUGCCAGCAGCCGCGUAAACAUACUCGUA
rnacentral:rRNA from 1 species